AACGCGAAGAACCUUACCAGCCCUUGACAUCCCGGUCGCGGGAACCAGAGAUGGAUCCCUUCAGUUCGGCUGGACCGGUGACAGGUGCUGCAUGGCUGUCGUCAGCCCGUGUCGUGAGAUGUUGGGUUAAGUCCCGCAACGAGCGCAACCCUUGUCCCUAGUUGCCAGCGGUUCGGCCGGGAACUCUAGGGAGACUGCUGGUGAUAAACCGGAGGAAGGUGGGGAUGACGUCAAGUCAUCAUGGCCCUGAUGGGCAGGGCUACACACGUGCUACAAUGGUCGGUACAAAGGGUGGCCAAGUCGCGAGGCGGAGCUAAUCUCAGAAAGCCGAUCGUAGUCCGGAUCGGAGUCUGCAACUCGACUCCGUGAAGUCGGAAUCGCUAGUAAUCGUGGAUCAGCAGUGCCACGGUGAAUACGUUCCCGGGCCUUGUACACACCG
rnacentral:rRNA from 1 species